rnacentral:rRNA from 1 species
GACGAACGCUGGCGGCGUGCUUAACACAUGCAAGUCGAGCGGUAAGGCCCUUUCGGGGGUACACGAGCGGCGAACGGGUGAGUAACACGUGGGUGACCUGCCUUUAGCUCUGGGAUAAGCCUGGGAAACUGGGUCUAAUACCGGAUAUGACUCCGCGGUGCAUGCUGUGGGGUGGAAAGCCUUGUGCGGCUGGAGAUGGGCCCGCGGCCUAUCAGCUUGUUGGUGGGGUGANGGCCUACCAAGGCGACGACGGGUAGCCGGCCUGAGAGGGCGACCGGCCACACUGGGACUGAGACACGGCCCAGACUCCUACGGGAGGCAGCAGUGGGGAAUCUUGCGCAAUGGGCGAAAGCCUGACGCAGCGACGCCGCGUGAGGGAUGACGGCC